GACGAACGCUGGCGGCGUGCUUAACACAUGCAAGUCGAGCGGAAAGGCCACUUCGGUGGUACUCGAGCGGCGAACGGGUGAGUAACACGUGAGUAAUCUGCCCCUGGCUUUGGGAUAGCCACCGGAAACGGUGAUUAAUACCGGAUACGACAACUUCUCGCAUGGGAUGGUUGUGGAAAGUUUUUCGGCCAGGGAUGUGCUCGCGGCCUAUCAGCUUGAUGGUGAGGUAAUGGCUCACCAUGGCUUCGACGGGUAGCCGGCCUGAGAGGGUAACCGGUCACACUGGGACUGAGACACGGCCCAGACUCCUACGGGAGGCAGCAGUGGGGAAUAUUGGACAAUGGGAGGAAGCCUGAUCCAGCAACGCCGCGGGAGGGAUGAAGGCCUUCGGGUUGUAAGCCUCUUUCGCCUGUGACGAAGCGCAAGUGACGGUAACAGGUAAAGAAGCACCGGCCAACUACGUGCCAGCAGCCGCCGUAACAC
rnacentral:rRNA from 1 species